CUUUUUUAGAACAAGUGUUAAAAAAGCCAGUAAAUUCUUCGAUUUCUAAUACAAACAAGAAGUAUUUAUCAUCAAUCCGAAGAUACAAAGAUUUUAUACCAACGAGGAAGAUGGCUGUAGUUAGAUAUUCUUAUUCAGAUGCAAAGUGGAAAGGUCAACCAAAAGCACCACUAUUUCCGUCAAUCAACUUGGUUGUCAAUCGGGACAAGCAGUUGUUAAGACCAUUCUCUGUCCGGGGAAAACAUGUUGACCUUGAGAAUGCAUCAUUGGCGAAAG